rnacentral:lncRNA from 1 species
GGACAUGCGCUCCAUGCUUUUCCGCAUCCUCAAGCCCGACCCGGCACCCUCCAGCAUCUGGUUCAGCAGCACACAUACAUCAGACGUCCCGAAUCCACAGCGGUACCAGGGCCCCCCUCUCCCCGCAUUCCCCAAAGCAACUGCUCCACGACUACAACUACGAUGCGACCCAGAUGGCCCUGACACGAUCCGAUCCGACGCGUCGCUGGGCCUCUCUUCUCUUCUCUUCCCCGUCCUUACCACGACGCACAUCCCAGCGCCGAUGCCGCUGGCGCCCCAGGCAGCGUGACAGGCCCGCGGUUACAACCCCCCUGCCCU